rnacentral:lncRNA from 1 species
GGCUUAAUGUGUAUAAAUUUAGGAUAUGCGUAUGUACCUUAAUUAACUAUAUAGAUUCAAAAGGAUGUCAAAAGAGCACUGGGUUAUUGACUUAUAGAGAGUUGUGUUUGUGCAUUGACUGGGGGGAUGAAAAGGUGAGUCUCCUAUUAGGACAAGGGGAAAGUUAUGGAUUUAUCAUCUGGGCAUGAGAAUCUGUGCAUCACCAGCUUGGCUGUGAGCUCUUAACUGCUUGAUUGCUGCUGGCUGGCCCUGGGACCCUGAUUGAAGCUCUUGAAUGCUGAGAGAGAAUACUGACUGUAUUAUUGCCCGUGUUGUUAGGAGCAGAGGCCAGAAAGGCACACAGAACCAGCUAUAGCAUGAGGCAAGGCAUCACUGUUAGCAUGCUUCAAAUUCCUGCCAGUGACACGCUUGUUUGAAGAAAUUAGAAACAGAGCUUACUGACACGUACAUAAUGGAUAGCACCCCGUUCUUCCUUGGCAGGCCCUCUUGGUGAAGAAAUCAUUCUUUUCCCAUCAAAAUUGGGAGUUUGAACCUAAAGGCAAAAUCAGCAUUGUUACAAACCAUGGGAGAAACGGGGAUUUUGGCAUUAAGAAGAACCAAAAAUGUAGCGGGGACUGUACAGCUUCACUCCAACGUUGUCAACACUCACAAGACUCAGAGAAAUAGGACGUUUCACAGCAAGCAAAGCUUUCAAUACGUGC